GCUUGGUGGGGGAUGGCCCUAUAAUCGGCGACGGCGUUCCUCGUGUCGGGUGGGGCCGCACAAGUUUGGGAAGUCUGUAAACAACGAUUUGCUCUUUUGAAACGGAACUUCAAGAUGAAAUAUUACUCGCAAAGUCACUGCAAAUGGGCUAUGUUUCUCAUCGUCCUUUCCCUGCCACGGGUCGACUCUGCCAACCAGUUUAGCCCUGCUGGUCGCCGAAUCCGUAGACAAAUAAAUGCAUGUCAAGAUGGAAAUUACACAGUUAAUGGAAAGACCUGUUGUCUGUGUGCAGCUGGUCAGCUACUAACUAAGGAGUGUGACGUUAACCCAGAGGACAGAGAUUGUGAGUUCUGUGAGCCGGGGAGAACGUACAACAGCAAGCCUAAUUCCGAGACCUUCUGCGAGCAGUGUACCUCCUGCACUCAGCCCAAUGCCAAUCUUGAGGUGAAGGAAGAAUGCACCACCGCCAAGGACACUGCGUGUCGGUGUAAACAGGGCUACUUCUGCUUCAGCGAACCCUGCAUCAGCUGUAACCCCUGUAAUAAGUGCGAGGAACUUGGUGUCAAGAAUUCCUGCACGGGAACCAAGGAUACGGUCUGCAAAGAGAGGAGCGAAGUCCAUGCAGCGAUCCUACCUGUCGCUAUCUCUUUUGGGCUAGUGCUUGUGGCAGCGGGAGGGUUCGCACUCGCAGCUUGGAAGAAGAAAUUGUAUUGCUUCAAAACUCCCAAUGUAGGAUUUGAGGGGACGGAUGGGAAAUAUGUCGAAAAUUCUUCACUGGCACUACUUGAAGAUGCAUACCUUGAUAAAGACGGGAACUUCUCCAAGCUUAUCCCAGACAUCGCCAGCCUGGUUGGAUGGCACGAUAUGAGGAUCAUCGCCAUGGCGGACGGCUUCAAGAAAACCAUCCUCGACAACAUCCAGCAAAACAACCCUGCGCACGUCGAGGAACAGACCAUUUCGCUUCUGACGGAGUGGGAGCAAAAGCAUGGCAGGGAGGCCGCCAGGAUGCUGAUGAAAGGGCUGUUGAAGAACAACAGAAAUGCCAAAGCGCAGGAAUUGCAGGACAUCAUUCGGAGUGACAGAAGCAAUAAACCAGCAUUGCCACUCCAGGAAUAGUUUGAUACAUUGAUUAGCAUUUCUACAAUUUGGAAUUAUUACCUCACAGGGACUUUCCUUCUGGUCACACAGAACAAUCCAAGACACUAGGCAUUUUUACACUGCAAAGCAAGUACCGUUGUUGCGUGGCAGAUGUUACAAUUUCACUGUCUUGCCUGUGUAGAACAGAGGGGGUGUAUUCCUCCUUCGUCAAGGAGCCGGCUAUCUUGGUUCGUUGGGAGUAGGCCGGACUACGCACGGAGAACUCUUUAGAAAAAUGUGCACUGCAUCCUCAGAGUUUUAUUUCAUUUUAUUCAAGCCAGUCCCAUUGAAUAAUCAGUAGGGUACAUCUGAGUGCAGGCUACAAACCUGAUUCAUCAUUUACAAAUUCCAAAAAAACUAAACAUUUUCUUUAUUUGCUAACCACUUGUUUUUUAUCCUGAUGGAAGUCUUGUAAGGAAAGUUCUCCUACUUUGUCAUAGAUGGAACCGUCUUCGUUAAAUGUGACGGCAUCACCUUCUCCAUUAUGAUUUCUGAUUUCACCGUCUCUCCAGUUAGAUCUACUCAUGUUGCUAUGUUGUCAACACCCAAGACCUGCCCCUGGUACCGCAAUGCUGUUUAAUUAAGAUUGAUUCACCCAGCCCUGCCAAGUUUUCAGAAAACUUUGGAGUUUGCGCUGCACAUUGGUUUGGGGCACGAUCUGGGUCGCCACCACGCGCUGAAAGCAGGACUAGGCUACUUAUAGCCUACCCAUUUCCCAUGUUUCAUAACAUCUAAUCCUUACCCAAACCAUUGCAACAUUAUAGGUGCCACUGAUCACUAUCAACCACCGACCGGGUAUGGGGCUUUUUUAACUCUGAUGAUUUCAAUAAAGCUCGUUUAGUAGACACAA